rnacentral:lncRNA from 10 species
UUUUUUUUUUGUUAGAACAACUCAGCAAAAUAAAAUUCCUGUUUAUUGUUGGACAACAUUGUUUCACACAUACAUCAAACAGGCCAAAAAAAAUAAACAGCAACUUCAUAGACAAAAAAGGAAAAAAAAGAAACCUUUUAUCUUUGGCCUUUUUAACCAUCUCAUACAAACCAACUACUUAUAGUACAGCUAAGUACAUACACAAAAAAGUUACUGGAAUGCUCGGAAUAAGAUUGUUUUUCUGUUGUCAUUUUUGCUUUUUUUACAAGGUUUUUUUUCUCCUUUGAGAUUAUAAUGAACAUGGUCACACCACAAGUAAAGUCAGAAGUAGGACAGAGAACGCUCCGAAGGCUGGUUUGGUCAUCCUCGUCGGUCUUCUGCUUCUUGGUAUCGACAUCGUCAUCCUCAUCAUCUUC